rnacentral:lncRNA from 1 species
GUCAAACCAAACAGUUUGCAGGAUUGUGAAGAAUUAGAAUUUAGAAUUAGACCGAAUUACUUUCCCGGAGUGCAGGAUGGAUUCUGAAUUACCAAAUUGAUCAGAAUCUCCAUUAAAUGUAUCCUCAGCAGUCUGACGGAAAGACUACAAUGUAAGAGCAUUUGGCCCAUCUCUUCUCAGCACAGUAUCACCAAAUUGAAUGUCCACAAAGCAAGAAGAUUAAAGUCAUGACAGAGGUCCUAGAUGGUGGCAUGUUCAGCGCAAGGACUCUACAAUUAAAGUCACAGAUAAACUUUUACUCCAGACUUUUUGAAAACAUUAAAAAGCCCUCAAAAUAUAAUUUCUAACAUGCAAACAUUUUCAGAAGACACUGGUAUUUCGUGCAAAGGAAGGAAGGAAGGAAGGAAGGAAAAAAGGAAGAGAGAGAGAGAGAGAAGAAGAGAGAGAGAGAGAGAGACCCUGCAAUGGGUAAUUUUAUUUUUUUUUUAUAUAUUUUUUUUUAAUGAAGAGAAUACCAAAUCAUGGUAAUUUUGUUCUUCCUCCUGUCCUCACAGCAUGACACAGAAGAAGAGCACAAUGGUAGGUUUGGUUCAUUUUCUUUACUUUCCUUCACCCUUUACCAAUCUUUUCUGAGCAUUUAGCAUUACUUAACUCCCAGACAAAGAUUAGAAAUUCUCUGAGCUAAUGUCUAUUUGUAAUUUGAUUGUGCAAGCACAGGAAUGUAUCCUACCAAAUUCUUCAAAGUGAUGCAUCUAUGUCCUGUCUAGGAUGGGGAAGGCAUUUAUAUACCCUCAAAUUCAGUGGCUGGGGAAAGUCAAGGAGGGCACCUCAGCAGGAGAAUCCUUGAAUGGGGUGGUCCGUGGGAAUGACCUAGCACAGAUGUGUGGCUAUGUCUUUGGAUUUUUCCUGUUGUCUUCGGAGGAGAGAGGCUAUUCAUAUUAUAAAUAGAAGUAGUUUCCUAUUGAGCUGUCAGAGCUUUGUAUUUAGAAACCCCAGUGAUGAAUGCAGCUGCCUUGCCUUAGGAUGCCAGUUUGUCCAUUCAGUACAAACAGUAUAACAUGCCUCUUGCAUCACAACGAAUUCAUGCCAAUUUCUACCAACACUGUGCUAGUUGAGAGUGAGGCACCAACUUUGUUGAUGUAUCUUGUCUAUUCCCUCUCAGCCCCCAUGAAUGAAUGAAGGGCAGCUCAAGCAGAAAAGCAGCUUCCUAAAUGUAUGUUGGUUAUGUUAUCCUACAGGCAAGAGGAUUUUAGCUCCAUGCUAAUUGCUGACCAAAGCAGUGAGAUCUGACCAUUGAUAUGCUCUGUGUCACAAAGGACACAUUUAAGUGUUGUAUAGCAGCUGUUUUUUUCCUCAGGAUGCCAAUG